rnacentral:rRNA from 1 species
CCUACGGGGGGCAGCAGUGGGGAAUAUUGGGCAAUGGAGGAAACUCUGACCCAGCGACGCCGCGUGCGGGAUGAAGGCCUUCGGGUUGUAAACCGCUUUCAGUAGGGAAGAAGCGAAAGUGACGGUACCUACAAAAGAAGCACCGGCUAACUAUGUGCCAGCAGCCGCGGUAAUACAUAGGGUGCAAGCGUUGUCCGGAAUUAUUGGGCGUAAAGAGCUCGUAGGUUGUUUGUUACGUCGGAUGUGAAAACCUGAGGCUCAACCUCAGGCCUGCAUUCGA